AUCCGUUCUAUGUGCAUGGAGAAAAGGUCCUUUACUCAGGAUAGCAAUACUGAAAGGAGCACACAAGAAGAUAACAUGAUUAUCGCAUCUUGGCAGCAGUUUCACACGCACGAUUUCGUUUAGUCGCUUAAUUGCAGUCCGAUUCCGGAGCGAAAAACCAGAGGAAAAGCACUGAAGUAGAUAAGGAGGAAAGCCAAAACAUAAAUAAUGCGUCAGUGGGUGAGGGGGUGAUGUUGAGCGUGAGUUGCAGCCGGUGCACCGGUCACUCACGAGUGAU